CCGUCUUCCUCCCCAACCUUUUACUUUUCUUCCUUUCUUCUCCAAAACCAGUAAGCUCUCUGAGAUUUCAAUCUCUUUCACUCUCUAAGAGGCAGCGGCAUGCUUUUCCAAACGCAAUUUACAAUUUAGUCAACGGGCAAAAGCAAGAGCCACCGAAUUUUCUGGAAUCCGGUCAACGUGGAGAUGCUCCAGAUUUUGAUCGGUCAACGCCUGCUGCUGCCCCAAUUAUUAGAGUUGGAAUUAGGGAUUCGUGUAUGAGCUGAGCUCCAAUGAACCCACCAGCGAUGACGUCCUCCGCCUCUGUUUCCGUUUGGCUGAUUCUGUUGUUUGGCUUCUUUCACCUCCAUAAGCUCGCUGCCAACGUCGAAGGUAUGUCUGUGUCUGUGUGUUUUUGAAUUUGGGUUUGUUUGGUUGCGGGAAUUGGCAUGAACUAAUGAAUGAAUGAAUGAUUGGAUUUGACAGGUGACGCAUUGAACGCGUUGAAGACCAAUCUAGCUGAUCCAAACAAUGUUCUGCAGAGUUGGGAUCCGACUCUCGUCAAUCCCUGCACCUGGUUUCAUGUCACUUGUAAUAGCGAAAACAGCGUUACUCGAGUGUAAGCAAACCCAACAAACACCUCCUUUUCAAUUCAAUUCAGUUCAGUUCAAUUCAAUUCACUUGUAAUAGCGAAAAUUGCGUUACACGAAAUUUCUAACCUUUUUUGCUCCACCCAGUGAUCUUGGCAAUGCCAAUCUCUCUGGUCAAUUGGUUGCACAGCUUGGUGUGCUUUCCAAGUUGCAGUACUUGUAAGUGUGUUUUUCGCUCUGCUUUCUUAUUUGUGUUCUUUCCAACUGUUCCAUCAGUAUGCGUUUGAAUUGAAAUUGGUAUCGAUACACGACGAAUGAAUUCACUACUGCAUUUGACAUUAUCGAAACAUUCUUUCUUGACAGGGAACUUUACAGUAAUAACAUAACUGGAACCAUUCCCGAAGAGCUUGGGGGUUUGGCAGACUUGGUCAGUUUGGAUCUUUACUUGAACAAGUUACAUGGUACCAUUCCAGCGGCACUUGGCAACCUUGCAAAACUACGUUUCCUGUAUGAACCCCCAUCCUUUUGUUAGAUAAAAUAUAUCUUGUCUUUCUUUUUUUAAUUGAUAUGCUAAUCUACUGUUUUUAAUUGUUCUGUUGGAGUGACUUUCUUCCUUAAGGUCCCGAUAGCAUUUCAGUUGAACCCAAAAUAUUACUUAGGUUGACUAUAAUUUCCCAAUACGUCGUCAAGGCAUAUAGCUUGAGUUUUAACAAAUUUGAAGAACGAUCACAAUAUAAAACAAGUGAUAAAACAAUUUGCACAAGACAAGAAAAUAUGGAAAUCACGUAACUGAAACCUUGAAGGCAAAUAUUCCUUAUGCCGGAUGCACAUAAUUAUAAUAUGAUCCCUGGUUUCAAGUUCACAAGAAGGGAGACUAGCUCCCUUGGUCAUUGAAUUUGGAAUUCUAAUGCAAAGAUGCAUUAAGCUAUGAUCACCAGAUUAAAAAUUCUAAAGAUCCAACAUGAGACGCCUAUGUUUGUAACAUACCCUUUCUGUUAUACCAAUUCUUUCUUUUCUUUUCUCCUUUUUUGUAGAUCCCCUACCCUAAAAAGAAAAACACAAAAAAGGAAAGGAAGAAAAAUAUAAGUUCCUAUAGCUUUUACCGUGACAAUUGUGAAAUCCCAGGUUGCCAUGGCGUAUAAUAGCUUGAGCCUUGAAAAGCCCCUUUCAUUGAUCUGUUAAGUAUUUUUCAAUUGUCAUGUUUCUGAAUUCUCUAUAUAGUUAAGACUGCCCCGAAAGAGAUUAAUUGUGCCAGUAAUCAUGUGCAUGAAGUUUUAGUAUCAAGUGGGACUUUGAAGCUUCUAUUUUAUUAUGAUUAACACUAUUCCAGUCUGUGUAUAUAUCUGAUUGCACUCAUUUAUAUUGCAAAUGGAAGUUUAACAUUAAGAUUUAAUUGGAGAGUAUCAUUGUUUUCUUUUUAAUUUUCGAGCCACCCUUGUAACAUCUUCUUAGGGUUACCCUAAGUAAACUUGCUUCCCUAAAACUUCAUGUAAAAUUUUAGAGGGAUUUAUUUAUUUAGAUGAAUACCGAGUGUAUGUUACAAAGAGCAUAUCUAGAAUUUCACGAAAUUUUGAGAAUUAUUCCUUUGUAGUUCAAGCAGUAACAAUUAUGAGGUCCGUAUUAUGUAAGGUGCUGAGCUAGAAUGUGUGUUUUAGGAACAUUUUUUACUUUAUCUAGGAGUGAGUCCUAAGUAGUGAAGGCCUUAAGUGGAAUAUUUGCAGUAAUAUAUUUUAGGGGAAAUAGAAAGGAAUUCUGUAACCAGAGUGGGUGAACCCUCAUAUCUAGUGGGACGUUUUGAAAGUUUCCUUGCUCAUUGCUCUCUUUGUCUAUUUGUGUCCGUAAUUCCAUAUGUACUUUAUGCACACUUGACGCUCACAUACUCUUCUGGUGUUUAUAUGGUGACAAGAAAAAUGGUAAAAUGAAAAUGAAUUAUAGCAAAACUACUUUCACAUUUUAUUAAUUGUGUCUCUUAUAAUUUGAAUAAUUAUGUGUUGGAAAUAUAAUAUCUGUUGUCGUUGUGAUUAUCUGUGAUUUAACGCUUUCUGUUCCAUGAAAUAGGCGUCUCAACAACAACACCUUGUCAGAGACUAUUCCCUUGACUUUGACUAACAUCCAAUCAUUGCAAGUCCUGUGAGUUUCGUAUACUUUCAUCUCAAUAAGAGGGGAGAGAGACAGAGAGAGAAAAGUUACUAAUUUCUCUGCCAUCAGAGAAUUUGCAAUAACACAUAGUUUUCCAUCAAAUGCAGGGAUCUUUCAAAUAACAAUCUGACAGGGGAUAUUCCAGUCAAUGGAUCUUUUUCACUUUUUACUCCCAUCAGGUUUGUUGAAGCCUCUUUAUUCUUUUUCUUUACUGUUUUCAUGCGGUGGCCAUCCUAGCAAACGACCUAAAUGAUGUACUGACUGCUAUUCUUCAUUUUGCAGUUUUGCCAAUAAUCCUCUGAAACCACUUCCACCCUCUCCACCUCCUCCUGUUUCUCCGAACCCACCAAGUUCUCCAGGUUUAUACAACUUAUACUGUUGUUGUGAUAUUAACUCAAAUUUGUUUUGAAAGCUGGCUCUAUUUUGUUUCAGACACUUGUGAUAUUGACUCCAGUGAUAGUUAAAGUUUUUUUGGUGUUUUUCUGUUAAUUUUUUUUUUACAUAAUAUAACAUUAUUUUUGGAAUUACUGCUCUAAGAGAAGUGCUUGUUAGGAAAGGAAGGGAUUGAGGAUCCAAGAGGAUACUCCUAAUUUUGUAUUGUACUAUUUCUGUGAGUUUGAAGAGACGAAUUAAAACAAUGACAUAUGAAGUUGGAAUCACUACUGUAAAGAUGCCAAGAAGAUGCUAGUUAGGAAAGGAAUGGAUUGAGGAUCCGAGAGGAUGCUCCUAAUUUUGUGUUGUACUAUUUCUGUGAGUUUGAAGAAAUGGAAAAAACAAUAACAUGUGAUAGAGAGUUCAUCAUAUAACUUCUGACUUUUAAGGAUUUUUCAUUUAGUUCUGGUUCAUGUUGCGCAAAUAAUCCUUCCUUUUUAACUCUGGUGAUUCAUAUUAGGUACCACUGCUACUGGGGCUAUUGCUGGAGGGGUUGCUGCUGGUGCUGCUUUGCUAUUUGCUGCACCUGCAAUUGCACUUGCUUAUUGGCGACGAAGAAAACCACAGGAUCAUUUCUUUGAUGUACCUGGUUAGUGAACUAUAGGAGUAAUAUAGCUUGAUAAAAGUGGUGUUGUAGUAUGGGAUGCAGGUUUCACUAAUCUACUGUCUUGCAGCUGAGGAGGAUCCAGAAGUUCAUUUAGGACAGCUCAAAAGGUUUUCUUUGCGUGAACUACAAGUUGCAACGGAUACCUUUAGUAACAAAAAUAUUCUUGGUAGAGGUGGAUUUGGUAAGGUUUAUAAAGGACGCUUAGCUGAUGGAACUCUGGUUGCUGUAAAAAGACUUAAAGAGGAGAGAACCCAAGGUGGGGAGCUACAGUUUCAAACAGAGGUUGAAAUGAUUAGCAUGGCUGUCCACCGCAAUCUGCUUCGUCUGCGUGGUUUUUGCAUGACACCAACAGAAAGGCUGCUUGUAUAUCCUUUUAUGUUUAAUGGAAGUGUGGCAUCAUGUUUAAGAGGUACUCAUCUAAAUUGUUUGCUGCGUUGAUGAAUCCUUUUGUUUUCACGAAAUUAAAAAUUGUUUGGAUUUCAUUGAUAAAGUGAAUUUGUACACCCGACCAAUUUGGUUUGGAGUAUCAGUACUGAUGUUUUUUUUUCUGUUCUUUUUUUCUUCAAUUUUAAGUUACCUUCUUGAUGUUGAUUUUAUUUAAUGGAUAACAAGAUGACUCUUUUUUGGGUGGGACGGGUGGCAUGAUAUGUGUUAAACCACAUUACCUGUUGCUUGUAAUUUAAAAUUCUACUCUCAUAAUUAUGUCGAUAAAUUAUUGUAGAUCGUCCAGAAGGACAAGCUGCACUUGAUUGGCCAAUAAGACAACGCAUUGCGUUGGGAUCUGCAAGAGGCCUUGCUUAUUUACAUGAUCACUGUGAUCCAAAAAUUAUUCACCGUGAUGUGAAAGCAGCAAACAUAUUGUUGGAUGAGGAAUUCGAAGCAGUUGUUGGAGACUUUGGGUUGGCUAAACUCAUGGACUACAAGGAUACACAUGUUACCACAGCAGUACGUGGCACAAUUGGUCAUAUAGCACCAGAGUACCUUUCAACUGGAAAAUCUUCCGAGAAAACUGAUGUUUUUGGAUACGGCGUCAUGCUUCUUGAACUCAUCACUGGGCAGAGGGCUUUUGAUCUUGCUCGGCUUGCGAAUGAUGAUGAUGUCAUGUUACUUGAUUGGGUAUGCUUUUACGUCUUUCUGUUUCUGUUUGUAGCUAAUUUAUUGUUAUAUGCAAGAUUAUUUUCCAACAACAUUUGCAUGAGGUCCACCUUCUGAUUAUAUUUUAUCAUUCUAAAUCUUCCAUAAUAUCUUUCAUACUUUAUAUAAAAAAAGACAUAAUGUUGUUGAAAUUCAACGAUAUUCUUGCUUCAAUCUAUUGUGUCCCCAAGUCCAAAUCUUGGAAAUUAUGUUUCAAUACUCAUUUUUAAAGAAAUGUUAUAUAAUAUACUGUAAAUUAGGUGUAUCUCUCAAUACCAAUGUUGCUAUUUAUUUAAGCCAAAAAUAAUGGGUCUCGACAGCUAAUCACUUUAUUUCAAACCGCUAAUCUAUAUGACAUUCUUAAUCAUUGUAUAUGGAACAUUUCUGCAAUCAUUUUAGUUGGUUCUUUGCAAAGAUACUUUAAAAACCUAUUACUCAUCAUAGAGCUGCCAAGUUCCUGUUUGAUUAAUGUAAAAAUCACUUGGUCUUUUUUGGCCCGAAUAUUGAAAACAGUUAGAAUCAUGGAUCAAAGAAAAGAAAUAAUGCUUGACUUUUAGAAAAUAACUUUAGUUUAAUUAGCUUUUAUUAGUUAGACUUACGAUUAAGCUGUGAAGAUUUAUUUAUCUUUAUUUAUAACAAUAUAAGGUUUAAAUUGUCAGAGAUUAAUUAUUACUUUUCCUUGGUAAUUGUUGUUAGUAUUGUUGUUGCUUCUUUUGCCAAUGUAUUGGCCUUGCUGUGAUUUCUUGAAGAAUUUGGCAUGUGUUCUGUAUCGAUCCUAAUUUCCUCAUUAUCUCUUUAUUCUCGCUAUCUUGGCCUAUUGCUUCUUUCUAUUCUCUGUUUGCAUCUUUGUCAUAUGUUUGCAUCAUAUCGAUAUUUGAAUGACGAUGCAUUUUUGUAAGCAGUUUGAUUUUCUGGAGAUACUGCGGCCCUUCAAAUUUUGAACAUUACAACACAUUUUCACUCUCCUAGGUGCCCUCAUCUUUUGUUUCAAAUUGUAGAACUAUCUGACUUUUUCCUUUUUAUUUUAACUAAAAUAAUUAGGUCAAAGGACUACUGAAAGAUCGGAGGUUGGAAACUCUUGUUGAUGCUGAUCUGAAUGGAAAUUAUGUUGACGAUCAAGUGGAGCAGCUCAUCCAAGUAGCUCUACUGUGCACACAAGGCACCCCAGGGGAACGACCCAAGAUGUCAGAGGUUGUCCGGAUGCUGGAAGGCGAUGGUUUGGCUGAAAGAUGGGAGGAGUGGCAAAAAGAGGAGGUGUUCCGCCAAGAUUUCAACCCUAUUCAUCAUCCAAGUACCAAUUGGAUCAUAGACUCAACUUCUCAUAUUCCUCCGGAUGAGUUGUCCGGUCCCAGAUGAUAUGCUCGUUGGUUCCGUCCCCUUGUAUACAUGUAAGAAGCCUUCAGAGGACUAGAGAAGGUCCAUUUUGUAUUUCAGUGAUACCACAUUUGUGCAUAUGUUUUGUCUUUGUUUUCGAUUUUGUUUUUGUCUCGCUUAUUUUUAAGAUCACAAAAAUGGAGCUGGUGCUGUUGUAAUUUUUAUAGGGUUAACUGGCAUUACGAAGUUAUAUGGUGCUAGCAGGAAUUAGGAAGGGCCAUAAAAGCACCCAUUCCUGAUGAUUUAUGUAUCUAUCCAGAAAUUAGUCCAAAUUGUGGAAUAAAUAAUCAUUCUGAACUUAUAACUAUCUAUAUUUUUGAGUGUUCCUAUAGAACCCAUAGAUACGAUAAGGACACUAGGUCAAUAUGAAGAAGAAGCAUUGCGAGCCGGAUGAGUUUACGUGCACGAUUAUGAUCAGAAUGGUUGGGAAAUUGGGUAAGGGCGACGAGUGUCUUGGGUUGUUCCAGGAGAUGGUGAACAAGGGUCGCGCUCCGAAUAUGAUGUUUUAUAGUACUAUGAUUCAGGCUCUUGCUCGGAGCAAGAUGGUUGACAAGGCCGUCGUUGUGUUCUCGAAAAUGGUACAGAACAAUUGCCGGCCUAAUGAAUUUACGUACAGUGUGGUUUUGAAUCUUUUGGUUGCAGAAGGGCAGCUGGGUGGGUUUGAUGAGGUGGUGGGGAUGUCGAAGAAGUACAUGACGAAGUCGAUAUAUGCAUAUCUUGUGAGGACAUUGAGUAAAUUGAGCCAUGCCUUGGAAGCUCACAGGUUGUUCUGCAACAUGUGGAGCUUCCACGACAUGGGGGAUCGGGAUGCAUAUACUUCAAUGUUGGAGUGUUUGUGCAGUGCAGGUAAAACUGCAGAGGCGGUUGACAUGCUAAGUAACAUUCAUGAGAAGGGGAUAACUACUGAUACUAUCAUGUACAAAGUUUUGGCAGCUCUUGGAAGGUUGAAGCAGAUACCCCAUCUUCAUGAACUGUACGAAAGGAUGAAACUUGAUGGGCCUGAACCGGACAUAUUUACCUACAACAUUAUGAUUUUGAGCUUUGGUAGAGCUGGGAAGGUUCAUGAGGCUGUGACGAUAUUCGAACAUCUCGAGAAUAGUGAUUGUAAACCGGAUAUUAUCUCUUUACAAUUCGUUGAUCAAUUGCCUUGGGAAAAAUGGUGAUGUGGAUGAAGCCCACAUGAGGUUUAAGGAGAUGCAAGAGAAGGGUUUUAGCCCUGAUGUCGUCGCCUACAGCACUCUGAUCGAGUGCUUUGGCAAGACGGAUAGGGUUGAAAUGGCAUGCAGGCUGUUCGACAACAUGCUUGCUCAAGGCUGCUAUCCGAAUAUAGUGACAUACAACAUCUUGCUUGAUUGUCUUGAGAGGUGUGGGAGGAUGCGAAACUUAAGCAGCAAGGGUUGACACCGGAUUGGAUUACAUACGCAGUGCUUGAACGCUUGCAGAGUGGUUCACAUAGGAGAGUUAGGGUUCGUAGGCAGAGUCCGAUCACAGGUUGGGUUGUGAGCCCUUUAAGGUGAUGAAUGGUGUAGAUAUACCGAAUUUUGCAUUAUUGCUUGUUUGGAGCCAGUUUCCAGUUCCUCCCAAGGCCGAAGCAUGUGGCUGCUGCUGCGACUACUCAAGAAACUUGCUUCCCACGGAGCCAUCACGACCAGGACCCGUUUUGUUCGCGGAAUGAGUUACUUGGGCAUGAAAAUUCAUGCUCAUUCCUGUGAGAUAGAAGCUGCCCCACUUGAGGUUUCGACGAAAAAUGAUUCUCACUUGCGGAACAUCACAAAUUUAGUAACAGAUUCACAAGGGUUGUUGAAAAUUUCAAUAAUUGAUGUGGAAGCAUGUCUUGUAUUUCAGAUUUGGUGUCUCACUGUCUUUCAGAAUUGAACUUUACGUGAACAAUGAACUAAACGCGUUUAUGCGCUGAAUUGGGUUACUAAGUUGCGCUGAAUUGGGUUACUAAGUUGGACGGUACUCACUUCAUAAGACAACUCAAAUAUUACCUAAGUUCGCAAAUAAAUCCAGUAAAAGUUACUAGUACAAAAUGUCAGACUGGAAGCAAGGAAGGAUCAGAAACAAAUCAAAUAGCUCCGGAUGUUUUAUCACACCACAAAAUCUACAAAAUUUUUCUACCACUCAUCGUCUAUCACAAGCUACACUUGAAAUGCCAUACGAGUGGAUCCCAAUAAGUUAUUGCAGUAAAUCAUACUUUUAAGUUCCAAACAAACCUGCGCAGUAAACCAAGCUCGGAGUACUUGAUCAACGCUUGACCCACUGGAAGCUCUUCCUUGCUUUUGCUUUUCCGGGUUUUUUCCUUUCCACCACACGCGAGUCCCUUGUCAAGAAACCAGCUGGAAACACAAACAAGUUGCCGGGUUAGCAAGAAAGGGGCAGAUAGAUAUUGCAAGGUUAAGAUCUGUUUCUCCUUAUAAGCCAGAAAUAACCAGCGGACAAAGGGGAAGAGAAAUAUUUACAUUCUUUUAGAGCAGGACGCAAAUCAGGUUCCCAAUUUUGCAAGGCCCUGCUCACUCCUAAUUGAAUUGCUCCAACUUGACCUGGAAAAAACACCUUUUUAAUUUUCCAUAUUUAACACAAACAAAAACGUUUAUGCAAAGAAUUAACGUACCGAACAUAUUAAACAUUGUUCUUUAAAAAAGAGUUACUAUUGAGAGUAACAAUUUGCACACACAGUAUUUUUGUACUCAACUACUAUAUAGGAAGAAGAGCCAGCAUCAAAAAGUACGAAACAAUCUUUAGAAAUUACAAUCAAUUCGUAUUUAAUUCUGUCGAGAUGUUGGCUCCAAUUUUCUUCUUCCUCUGCUCUGUUUCAGUUUAAUUAUUUGAUGUGAAAUGAAAAUCUAACACAAUUAAUUCACCCUAACAACCUAGGAAGAAAAAGACACUCGCAUUCAUUUGACUUCAUGAGAGCAAGGGGAAGAAAAGCUUUACUAACAUAUGGAACUGGACAGAAAUUUGUUUUCCAUGAGAGAUUGGCAGUGCAGGUAGUAAGUAGCGAGGCAAAUUUGUGGUUUUCUGGCAUAUAAAGCUAUAGAAUUGCAAGUUCAAGGAUAACGGAGGGAAACAGCAGUUGAAUUGGAUCUCAAACAAGUCAAUGUCAAGGAAAAAAGUCAACAUAUAAAUCAAAAUAAAGUGUGUAGCAACAAACUUAGGCUUACCUGUGGUGCCACCUCCUUGGACACUACAAGCGAUGUCCCAAAGGCCCAACGUUUUUGUCUCAGAGAAAGGUCGGAGGAGAGCAGCACGAUGAUCAAGCAUUGGAAAAUAGGUGUCAAAUUGUUUAUCAUUAAUUGUGAAUUUACCAUUACCAGGUUGAAUCCAGACACGUGCUACACUACAUUUCCUUCUUCCUGUUCCAUAAGCUCUCCCCUUGUCGUCUACUGUUCUCACUCUUGCUUUGGCAACUUCCUCCUGUUUCUGGCGCUCUAUUUCAGCUCUCGAGGAUUUUCUGGUAUUUUUCUCAUAACGAAUGUCUUCAAUCUCUGAAAGAGGGGGCAAUCCCUUUAUCCCUUGAAAAUCCUUCAAUGCAAUCAAAGUGUCAAGCAUUUCGUCUGUGAUUCCAGAUGCAGCAAUAAGGUCACCAAAGGCACGAUUCGGACCUGCAGUUACCAUACUGAAUCAGUAUAACACCUAAAGAGUCACCUAGCUGAUAAAUGAAUCAGCAACUGCAUUCAAAACAGAGUACUAUUUGAACUAUAAAAGUUCGAGAAAGCCGAAGAAAUAAUCUUAUCCCAUGUAGAGUGCUUGCAGCUAAACCUAACAAGAUACCUGAUCAUUUUAACUCCUCUCACUAAUCAAUAAGUAGUGUAGUUCCCAAAAUCAAAAGCACAACAAUAGACACACCAAUAUUUUAAUGAACUUGCAGACCUCCCAACAACGAAACAUGCAAUUGGUUGGUGCCCAAAUCAACCCAAAAGGAUUUAGUACAGUACAAGUUGUUCCACUAAGCUAUACACCUUCCUACUCUUAAGCAUAUCAAUGUUAUCCAGAAUUUAGGAAAAAUAACUAGCCUUUGAGAACAGCAGUAAGCUCCUGCUCCUCUUUCUCAAGCCUCUUAGCCUGUUCAGCCUUCUCAAUCUCCUCUCUACUUGUCUCACUGUCAAUGACAGUAACAGUCUGUACACCCUCUCCGAUAUCGAACAAGUCACUCUUCGCCUCCUCUCCCAAGCUCCACAUCUUGUACUCCUGCGAUGUAUCCCACUCCUCGCCUCCUUUCCCCUUCAACCAGUCGGAAUCGGCCUCGCUGGAUUCAACUUCUGCAAUCCCGGAAAUGUCCCCGGAGCUCUGGCCGAAUAAAAGGUCAAACUUUCCAUCGGUUUCCUGAGAAAGCCUCCAAACAUCUGAUUGGGAGGGACCCUUACCAUCGUCACUGGAGAAGAACCUUGGAGUGAAAGUAGCGAAAAGAGGGUUUUGGGGUUGGGGGAAGGGAUGGAAAUUUGGGGAGAUUAGGGUUAGGCGAGAGAAAUGUGAGGGUUUGGGUAGAAGACGAGAGAGCAUGGUGAUGAAGCAGAGACUUGACAAAUAUUUUGAAAUUUAGGGUUUAACAAGACAAAUACGAUCUUCAUACAACCCUUUACGGUUGGAGAAGGAAGGAGAGGGAGAACAGGAUCCCGUAGGGGGUUUUCAUUCCAUCGGCAUCGCAAGAUAAUGGGGUUUCAGUUUUGAACGGAAGUUUCUAUCCCUGUUUUUUUUUUUAGAAAUUUGAAAAAAUAAUCAAAAUUUUGAACACAAAUAGAAUUAUAACCACUAUUAUAAUUUUCAAUCAUUUUAAUCAAAAAUUGAUAAGAAAGUAAAAAACAAGCUGCUGAAGAUGUUCCCGCAUAUUCGAUUGCUCCAAAGCCUCCUAUCCAUCCCUUCCUCCCGCACUUACCUACCUUGCCAUGAUUUUUUAUUGAUAUAUCAGUUUUCAUUUUCAUAAGUAAUUUUAAUUUUAAUUGCUUGGGUCCUCUGGACCUAAUGCCUCAAGGAAAGAAUGGAGACGAUCGAUGUCGGUUGGGUCUUGUUGAUGCACAAAAUCGGAGGUCUUGGUACAACGUAAAUCUGACUGUGAAUCUGCAUGAAAUGUAAAUAACACAAGAUGUAUCGUGGUUCACCCCAAAGUUUGGGCUACGUCUACACUGAUUGUAUUGUAUUUUUCUGAGAAGUGAGGGAGAGAGCUCUGAGAGUGAGAGCUUUAAGAGGGGGUGAGAAGGGUGAGAAGGCUCCAGAAAUAGCCUCCCCUAAUUGUGAGGGUGAGGGGUCCUUUUAUAGAAUAAGGACUCCUCACUUAUUACAUAUUUGCCCCUUCUUUUAUUACAUAAUUACAUUUAAGUCCCCCGAGUAUUUAUACGAGGUCUAAAUACGGAGGCCCUAAAUAUGGUAUAAACAGUAGUCCCCCAAGUCUUCAGUCAAGAGAGUCUUUUGGCUGGAGACUUGAAAUUCAGUCCAUGUGUGGGCCGAAGUAACUAGAUGUUGUCUUGAACUGAUGCUCGAUAUGAGGCGGUGCUCAAAGUGAAAUGAUGCUCAACUAUAAGUAGCACAUGUUGCGAGGCUACUCGGCUUGUGGCUUAUGUUGCUUUGGUUGGGCUCGGCUUGUGGCGCUUGAAGGUGAGCGGGUCCCUUUUAUAGAAUAAAGGUUCGCUCCUCAAUACAUAAAUGAUGGGUUAGGAGUGAUGCUCGCGGCGAGGCGGUUGCUCAACUGGCGGCGUUGCUCUCUAAUGAAGGUGAUGGAGUCCCUUUUAUAGAAUAAGGGCUCGCUCCUCAAUACAUAAGUGAUGGGUUAAGAGUGAUGCUCACGGCGAGGCGGUUGCUCAGCUGGCGGCGUUGCUCUCUCAUGAAGGUGAGGGAGUCCCUUUUAUAGAAUAAGGGCUCGCUCCUCAAUACAUAAGUGAUGGGUAAGUUUCCCAAGUAUUUUUCAUGAGUGCUCUCUAAUGAAAGUGAGGGAGUCCCUUUUAUAGAAUAAGGGUUCGCUCCUCAGUACAUAGAUAAUGGGCUAAGUCCCCCAAGUAUUUUUCAUAAGGCCCAAUUGAGGCCCAAUAUGUGGUACCUAAUGUAGUCCCUCAAGUCUUCGGUCAAUAAAGUCUAUUGGCUAGAGACUUCAAAUUGAAUCCAUGUACGGGCCAAUGUGGCGGUUGUUCCAAGGUGGUAUUUGUAUACCCUGUACUGAAGCUUUGUAGGUGAAGCUUUGCAAGUAAAACUUUGAAGCUAGAGCUCUGUAAAUGACACUUUUGAAGCUAGAGCUCUGUAAAUGAAGUUUUUGAAGCUGAUUGACAUGAGUGAUGCUCAUGAAUGUUUAUGUUGAUUGACAUGUGUGAUGCUCAUGGAUGUUGUCAUGAGUGAUGCUCAUGAAUGUUAACAUGAGUGAUGCUCAUGAAUGUUGACAUGAAUGAUGGUCAUGAAUGUUUAUGUAUGAUUGUCAUGAGUGAUACUCAUGAAUGUUUAUGUAUGAAUGACAUGAGUAAUGCUCAUAUAUAAUUUGGAGUACUGUGUGUACUUUUGAUCACCUGGUUGGUGGCAUGAAGGAGAGUACGGGUUGUACAUUUCAUCACCUGGUUGGUGGCAUGAAUGGCUAGUUGCCAAAUGAUAUUAGAGUACGGGUUGUACAUUUCAUCACCUGGUUGGUGGUAAUAGCGGCAGGUUGCCGAAUAAUUUUAGAGUACUGGGCGUACUUUUGAUCACCUGGUUGGUGGUAAUAGCGGCGGGUUGCCGAAUAAUUGAGGAGUACUGAGCGUACUUUUGAUAACCUGGUUGGUGCUAUUUCGGGCUUAUGGGCUUUUGCCCUCUACACAACAUUCCAACCCAUUUAUUUUGGGCUUUGCUGUUUUUUUUUUGUUUUUUUUAUUUUUUUUAUUUUUUUUUAUUUUACCCUCUGAUGGGGUUUAUACAUAUUACACUCUGAUGAGGUUUAUACAUAUUACCCUCUGAUGGGGUUUAUACAGAUGUUUCCGAAAGAUAAGGAAAAUAAAUUACAUCAUUCUGGUAGGGUGUUUAUUCCUUGCUUUUGCUUUCUCUUUUUCUUUCGUUUUCUGUUUUUUUUUUUUUUUUUUGCUUUUCCACCACUCUCUCUGUCUCUUCACCUGACAAACAAAAUGAAUCGUAAUCAUAGGAAAAUUUUUGCUUUUCUUCUUUUCUCUUUUCCUUUUCCUUUUCUUGAUCUCCCCGCUCAUUCUCUGUCCACCCAUGUUGCUUUGCAAGGUCAUCUUUUGCUUUUCUUGACAGAUGAUUUCACAUGGCUGUGACUGCUCCUUCCUUGCUCUGGGUCCUCAUUUUACGCUUUAAUGUAUGCUUGGAAGAUUACCUCUCGAUCCUCAUCGUUGGGGUAUCCAUCCAUGAGCUGAUCGUGUACAGUGACAAAACCAAGAGCGAACACAGGAGGGCCCACCGAGUCGGAGAGCUGUCGGAUUCUUCAGCCCUGAUUUCUCGUUCAUCUCCUGUGAUCUUGUAAUAGCCUUGAUGCGUGAGUCGAUCGGCAAGUGUUGUUGGUGUCUUUGUAUUUAGGCCGGGUGAAAAAGACCUACUUCUUCUGCGAACUUCUGGGAUGAAACCGGUCGUACAACCCGACCCGACCACCAUGUACACGACGAAGAACCUCGGGACUAGCAAUAGCACAGGCAACAGCUCAUGUGAUUUUCCGCAAAAGGACAAUCCCAGAACUUUAAUUUCCCACCAUGUCCUUCUCCUCCACCCCUGUGCAGUUCAGUCUCCUCGCUCUCCUCUCCGCCACCACAGUUUACUACUUUUACAAAUCUGCCACCUCCGACGCCUCAAGCUCUCCCUAAACCCUAACUCUAGUUCAUCGCCUCGCAGAGGCAAGCCCUUCUUCGUCUCCCAAACUGGCACCUCUGAAGCUCUAGCUCGUCGCUUGCUCGAUUUUCUGACGUCGAAUGGCGUCGCUUUCGACCUCGUCAACCCCAGCAACUACGAGCCCGAGGACCUGCCAAAGGAAACCCUAGUUCUGAUCGUCGCUUCAACGUGGGAUGACGGGAAGCUGCCUCCGAACGCCAGAUUCUUCUCCAAUUGGCUUGCCGAGAACGCGGAGGACUUCAAGGUGGGAUCGUUGUUGCUCUCUAAUUGCAAAUUCGUCGUCUUCGGCGUCGGGAGUCAAGCCUAUGGCGCUACGUUCAAUGUGGUGGGGAAGGACUUGGCUAGGAGGAUGAGGGCGUUGGGUGCUUCUGAGAUUUUUUCGAUUUGGGAAGGUGACGUGGACGGUGGUGAUUUAGACGAGGUGUUUGAUGCUUGGAGUGGGAAGGUGGUGAGGUUUCUGAAGGGUGGUGCGGCGGAAAAUGGCGGGGUUUUGGGUAAUGGGGUUGGAUCAGCUGAGAAAGCAAGAUAUUUUGGCGAUGGAGAUUUGGUAGGACUGUUGGAACUUGGAACUGUGUAAUUAGAGAGAGAGAGACCGUCUGUUAUACUUACCCAUUUCUGGGUUUCUAGAGAGAGAGAUGGGACUGGGAUUUUGGUUUGGUGUUUUUUUUUGUUUUGGUUCCUGAGUUUUGCAUAUCCACAACUGAGAUGAAAAAUUGAGAGAGAACCGACACAACUUUUCGUAUCGAUUCCCACAGACGGCGCCAAAUGUUGAUGCACAAAACCGGAGAUCUUGGUACAACGUAAAUCUGAAUGUGAAUCUGCAUGAAAUGUAAAUAACACAAGAUGUAUCAUGGUUCACCCCAAAGUUUGGGCUACGUCCACACUGAUUGUAUUGUAUUUCUCUGAGAAGUGAGGGAGAGAAAGCUCUGAGAGUGAGAGCUUUGAGAGGGGGUGAGAGGGGUGAGAAAGCUCCAGAAAUAGCCUCCCUUAAUUGUGAGGGUGAGGGGUCCUUUUAUAGAAUAAGGACUCCUCACUUAUUACAUAUUUGCCCCUUCUUUUAUUACAUAAUUACAUUUAAGUCCCCUGAGUAUUUAUACGAGGUCUAAAUACGGAGGCCCUAAAUAUGGUAUAAACAGGUCUAACUUUAACAACUUUGAUGAAAUCUGAAAUUAAUAAUGUUGACAAGAUUUAAUACCAUCGUCGCACUCAACCUCAACUCCAAACCAUGACGUUCAAAGUGAGAACUACCAAUACACUCCCAACCAUGCCUUUGCAAAUCUACAUUCAAACCCCAGGACACCCAUUUUUCUAUGAUCUGGAGGCAGUCUUAAUACAACCACAACCAUUUAAGGGUAUAAGGCCUCGUUUGUUUGACCUCCUUAGCUAGGACUGGACUAGCUAGGACUAAUAACCCAUGUUUGGUAUAGCAAGGGACUAGGUUAAAUAGGAUUAGCUCGGACUCGUGCCGACUAACUCCUUCGCUCACUGAUCUUAGCUAAACCCCUCGAAAACGACGGGAUUGCUAAUCCCAUCUCCACCACCACGAAUAUCCCGCGAACCCAGUCAUCAAAAUCUAGCCUUUUUGCCAACCUCCAUCAUCCUGCGAACCCAACAAACCCAACCUCAUAUUUGCUUUCCGACGAACCCACAACCUAAAUUUCCCGACGAACAGACAAAAGAACAUUUAACACUUAAUCGAUAUGCAGAAACGGGUUCUCCAUUUUCGUCGAUUGAACUGGAAUUAGACCCAUAAAACAAAGAUAACGGUCUUUGCCUAAAGAACUUUGGAUCCGAAAACGAUCUUCGCAAUUUGAGAUCAUUCUGCCACACUGCAACUCCUAUUCCAAGCGUUUCCUUGGAGGCGAAACGAAAUGAAUACAAGGGGAGAGAGGAGAGAGGGGAGAGGGGACAGUGGUACAUAUGUGAAACAUAAGAAAAAGGAAGGGGGAAGGAGGAGACGGAGGGCGGAGAAAAAAAUGGAAAAUAAUACAGAGGGAGGCAUAUAAAACAGAGAAGAAGAGGAGUAGAAAAAAUGGAAAAUGAUAAAGAAAUAAUAAAAUAUUAAUUGAUAUAGAUUAAAUUUUAAAAAAACUAUUAAUAAAUAUAGAUUAAAUAAUAUAAUAUUAUAGUCCUGCUUCUUAGUCCGACACUGCACCAAACGUUUCACUAAGUUAGUCCAGCUUAGUCUAGUCUAAGCCAGUCCAGUUUAGUCCCUGAAGCUAGUCCAGUCCGAGACAGUCCGAUGCAACAAACGCACCCUAAAGGUAUAUUAGUACUUUCAUAUCAAUUUUUUGUUAUAAUUAUGAUAAACUUAAAAGUGUGGCUAUAAUUCUAUAUUGGAUCAAAAUUUUGAUUAUUUUUCCAAAUAUCCGUUUUUUUUUCUUUCUUUUUUGUUGAAUUUGUGUCUUCCACGUUUGUUCUUUUACAUAUUAACGUUUUUUUCUAAUAAAAUUUUCUAAAAAAAUGAAAUAUAACUUUCUGACAAAAUUACCCUUAGGGUUUUUAUAUGUAUUUUUUCUGUCAGUUUUGAUUUUUUUUUGUUCGGAGGGCUUUUUAGUCCAAAAUUUUUUGAUGAAGCCUUGAGACACCAAACUCUCAUUAUAGCUUGUUAAGCCCUAAAUUUCAAAAAUCUAAAAUACUUCUACCCAAACCCUCACAUUUCUCUUACCUAACCCUAAUCUCCCCAAAGUUCCAUCCCUUCCCCCAACCCCAAAACCCUCUUUUCGCUACUUUCACUCCAAGGUUCUUCUCCAAUGACGAUGGUAAGGGUCCCUCCCAAUCAGAUGUUUGGAGGCUUUCUCAGGAAACCGAUGGAAAGUUUGACCCUUUAUUCGGCGAGAGCUCCGGGGACAUUUCCGGGAUUGCAGAAGUUGAAUCCAGCAAGGGCGAGGCCAAUUCCGACUGGUUGAAGGGGAAAGGAGACAUUGCAGGAGUACAAGAUGUGGAGCUUGGGAGAGGAGGCGAAGAAUGAUUUGUUCGAUAUCAGAGAGGGUGUACAGACUGCCAUUGACAGUGAGACAAGAAAAAUGUAGUUUCUUGCAAUCAUAAUGGGAAGCGAACAACAUAGAGAAGUUGAAUGUGGCAAAGCGGCAAGAUGUUUCUUGCAACUCCAAACAGAUCAAUUAGGAAUUGUAUAUAAUCAGAACAAGUUUUAUUAUUAUUAUUUGGGCCAAAUUUCUUGUCCUGUUUGUUUUCCUUUCGGUUAACUCGAUCAGUUAUGGGCUGAUAAAGACACGACACGUACAUUCUUUUUCUUCGGUAUUAUUAUUAUGGUAUUAGUUUCCCCCAGUGUCUUACUAAGUACACCAUAAGUACACCAUUUUUGAGACAUUAGUAGCUGUAAUAAAAUAAUACCUCACUCAUUUAUACCCCGAAAUAACUCACAACUGCUUAUCUUCAUUUUGAACAUAUAUAUGUAGACACUCACAUCAUUCUCAUUUAUAAAUGCCCCUCACACAAAUGUUACUCUAAUAUCACGUUGAUGUUCGAAUAAAACUUAUAAAAUCAUAUCAUUCUCAUUUAUAUAUGCCCCUCACACAAAUGUUACUCUAAUAUCAACUAUGAUGUUAAUUCGAUUAAAAAUUAUAACUUGUUCUUAUUAAUCUAGGUGAUAUAAAGACUGUUAAUAUCACAAAAAGAAAUUGGCCACCGAGUAUGACGAUGCUUAAUUGCAAUUGUGCUUUAUUUGUUUACCAAUUUAGUAGAAAAUGUUCCCACGGUGUUCCCACGUCGCAGAAAAAACAGAGCAAUUGGGUUUAUCUUUUACUGCUAAAAAUCUGUAUACUCCCAUAAAUUUCAACACUUUAUGUAUUUUAGGCACAACCCAUUUCUCAUACGCCAUUAAAACAAAACCCAGUAGAAUUAAAAAACGUAAACAUAACAGUAAGAAGAGGGCAGAGAGACCUAAAAUAGAAGGAAGAGUGCGAGUAGAAUUCUGGGUUUGUUGACGCUGCUUUGAAGCUCUGCAUUUUUUUUACUGAUUGGGUGGUGAUUCCUUCUGCCUGUAUCACUUUAAAGCAAAGAAAAGGUUAAAAAAGACGAUCUUCAUACAACCUUUUACAGUUGGAGAAGGAAGGAGAGAGAGAACAGGAUCCCGUAGGGAGUUUUCAUUCUAUCGGCAUCGCAAGAUAAUGGGGUUUCAGUUUUGCACGGAAGUUUCUAUCCCUUUUUUUUUUCUUUUUUUUUCUUCUCUUUCUCUAAAAACUGAUUUGCGUCCAACCUGGUUGAAUUUGUGUCUUCCAUGUUUGUUAUUUUACAUUUUAUCUCAUUUUUUUCUAAUUUUUUUCUAAUAAAAUUUUCUAAAAAAAUGAAAUAUAAGUUUCUGACAAAAUUACCCUUAGGGUUUUUAUAUGUAUUUUUUCUGUCAGUUUUGAUUUUUUUUGUUUGGAGGGCUUUUUAGUUCAAAAAUUUUUGGUGAAGCUUUGAGACACUAAACUCUCUUUCUGACUUUCUAAUAUUAAAGAUAAAGAUUAUUAUUUUUUGUCUUGUGGAUAUGUUGAUUUUGAUUUUAAUGCAAGAAGUGAUUUCCGUACAUUAUUUUAUUUUGAUUUUUCAAUCCCAAAAACAGAAAUAGACAUGAGUGUAUAGCAGGAGAAAAUGGUGUGAAAGUAACUUUCCUUUUAUUACUAAAUCCAUCGACUGAAAUUAACUCAGCUAAAUUAUUUCCCCUAAUUACCAACUUUACCAUUCUACAACUAGUAAAUUGCCCUAUUGGAUAAGACUAUCAUCUUCAACUUACUACGUCUCAUAUUCAAACAUGCCCCUUCUUUUUAAUCUAACUUAGAGUAGUAAUAUCAAUUGUAAAAAAAGAAGGAUUAACUCUGCACUUGAGGUCUUGUGUUUGAGCUAGUUCUUUUGAACUAAUCUCUAAUAUUAGAAAAUCAUCAGUCAAUUUUUGUGUCUUAAGCUUCACCAAAAAUUUUAGAACAAAAACACCCAUAAAACAGAAAAAUCCAAAACUAAUCCAAAUUAACACAUCAAACACAACAUGGGUAAUUUUGUAAGAAAAGCAUAACAAAUAAAAGAUAAUAAAAAAAGGAAAAAAAGAAAAUGAAACGUGCAAAACUCUGAUGUCGUGGGACUCAAGAGAAAACCACGAACUGACGGACAAGAAAACUGCCAUGAACCACAACUCCAUGUUGAGCACUGAAGAUUAUGAGGAGGGAAAUCUUUCUUUGCUGUUCCUUCUACUUCGAGUGGUUUGGAAGAAAAAAACAGUUCAUCAAUUUCCUUUUUGUUUUCACUUUCUUCCGUUUUCUAAAGGUUCAUCGGGCCCUCGAUCACUCAUUACGACUAGAUCUGGACGACAUGUGGAGACGAGUGCAGGAUGUUUUCAGUUUACUAUCUACAAUUAGACUUAGUGAGAUUACUCUCUGUGGUUCAUCUUCUACUGAUCUUUAUGUCAGAAAACAAUGCCUUCAAACAUUCGGACUUUUGGUACAAGAAGUUAUUUUCAAAGAUGAAUUUGAUAACUCUCCCAAGCACUGGAGAGUUGAUUGGGAUUUCCCUCUUUUCAAUAUCUAAUUGGGGAUUUUUUGGUAAUCAAAUUUUCAGAGCUUCAUUCUUUCUUGUAUCUAGUUGGGUUUCUUUACCUUUUGUUUUAAUAACUUUUCCGAUCUCUAUUCUUUACAUGGACGUUUUUUCUUUCAACAACUCCUCUGCAAAUUGUUGACUUCCUGAAUGACUUCCAUUAUUGCUUUAUAGGUACUCUUUGUUUCUUUGCAAAUAUACGUAUAUCAUUUCAAACUUUGCAAAUUUUGUGAUGAUACUAUUCGGUAGCUUCUUAAAAUUUUUCUUUUUGUUCUCUAUUUUUCUUUCCCCAAAAGGUGGUUCAAUUACAUAAGUUGUGCAUAUAACUGUCAAUGUGGCUUUUGGAAAGAAAAACACUACAUUUUUAGCAUAUAUAGAACAAAGGGUUAGUUCUGUCAGUUUCUCCAAAACAUAUGUUGAGGGAAAAUGUGACGACCCAUCCUAAUUUUCUUAUGUAAUUUAUCCCCUAGUAUGUGUUGACGGUUAUGCCCUUAGUGGCAAGUGACGUGGACACAUUUAUUUCCCUUAAAUUAUUUAUUUCCUCAUAUCACAUUUAAAUUGUACACACUAGUACGAGUCGGCGUAAAUUUUAAAGUGUAAAAAUAUCUACUUCGGACUUAUUUCGAUCUCUUUUUACUGUAGGAAAUCUGAAAUCCUAUCCUUUGGAUUCCUUUUUAUCCUACCCGUGCACCCCCCAUUAUUCACUCACCCAUCACUCCCUCACCAAUCACAUCUCUUCCCACUUCCCUACACCCAAUCAGAAAAAAUAAAAAAAAAUAAAAUAAAGCAUUCUCUCUCUCUCUCUCUCUCUCUCUCUCUCUCUCUCUCUCUCUCUCUCUCUCUCUCUCUCUCUCUCUCUCUCCCCCUUAUACUCGAUCCUCUAUGUAAAGCCAUGAACGAGCUUCAAAGCUCGUAGAUCAAAUUCACAACGUACACCAUUGUAUUCAUCUCAGUCCCAUGAUCACAACCAUGUCCUUGAAAUCUGAUUUAGAUGAGUUUUGACUCACCAACUCGGAAGGUCCGACUCGGUAAGUCUCGGUUCUACGAUUUUCAUGCCAUUCAUAGCUUAGGUAAGCCUUGAGAAACCCUUAGAACCUUCAUUUCAAUUCUAUGGGUUGAUAUUGAUCUCUUGUUUGUGUUUUGAACGUAUGGUUUUACACAGAAAACUCGAGAAGAGAAAAUUGUACGUUUUUCAGUCAUGGACCGUGACAAUUUGGUCACUUUCAACCCAUUUUUCCAGUCACCCUCAACUUUAGCUGGACUUCUAUUAGGUACAAACUUGUUCUCUACAUUCCUAACUUCAAAAUGGCGUUUGAAUCAUUGAGUUUGGUUAAGUAACGAGUUAGAAAUCAACUCUGGAAGUUAGGAAGAAAUUCCAGUUUUCUAGAAAUCUGCAACCAUGGUCAUUUGGCCAUUUUCAGGCCAAAUUCUUGAACAACACGGACCGUAUUUGAACUUUUUGUGAAAUGGGAUCAAUACACCACAUUCCUAGCUUUAAUUUGGUUGUUGUAGAAGUGUUUUUGGUUGAGAAUCGAGCUCGUUAGGAUCUCUAAAGGUUGGCCAAAAAAUCUGCAAAACUGCAGAAAUUCGCGAGGAAGGCGAGUAUGCCUGUACUCGCAAGCGCGUGACCAGUUUGUGCAGCCCCUUAUGGCUAGGGGUGGAUUUUUUUACCAAAUUGCCGUGCCAACCGAAUUACCAACCGUGCCAUACCGAUUUUGUGCCAAAUUUUUUGUGCCAAUCGGUAAUGGUACGGUAUUGUACCGUACCGAAAUUUCUUGGUACGGUAUUGGUAAUGGAUAUCAUUACCACGGUAUUACCGUACCGAACAUAUAAUAUAAUAUAUAAUUUAUAAAUUAUAUAAUAUAUAAUUAUAUAACACAUAUUUAUAAUAUUCUAAUAAUUUGAUAUGAUGAAAGAGGCUCAACCUCGGUUCAAGAUUCCAAAUAGGAAGAAGAUUGCGGCCAAUGUAUGGGAUUUAUAUGUGUUAGAGAAGUCUAAGUUAUUUGAAGCAAUGCAUAAUCAAAAGGUAAGUAUCACAACCGAUACUUGGACAUCGGUACAAACAUUAACUACAUGGUAGUUACCGCUCACUUCAUGGAUAGUGAAUGAAAGUUGCACAAACGGAUCAUAAACUUCAUAAAGAUCACGGGUCAUAAGGGACAAGACAUUGGGAAAGUUCUAGAGGUGUGUUUGAACCAAUGGAGGAUAUAGAAGAUCUUUAGCAUGGGGGAAACUUCUAUUUGUUUUGGUUCGUAACUUCUAUUUGGAUUGUAAGCUUAAUUUUCAUCAUGAAUCUUGAUGCAUCUUUUGAAUUAUUGUGUGUGUGAAUUGUAAAUGAUGAAUAAUAGAUGAAUUUAGGCUACAAUGUAUGAGAUAAAGGUACAAUAAAAAAGUUUUGCCCUUGAAUUGGGUUAAAAAAGCAAAAAACAAAUUUUGUCCCAAAACAAAGUGGCAAUUACCAUUGCCAUACAAUGCCAACCAAAUAUUUGGCAAUACCGAACUUCGGUAUACCGAAAGUUUGGUAUGGUAAUGGUAAUAGAUUUUACCAAACCGAAAGUUUGGUACGGUAAUUGGUACGAGGGUUUUGGUACGGUAACCGUACCGAACCCACCCCUAGUUAUGGCAGCACGUCCUGCCUCCUGUUGGCGUGUGGUUGACAUGUGUGUGUCCGUGACGUCGAGUAGAUCGAUUUCAUAUAUUUAAACCCUAGGUUUGAGCAAACUAUGGGGUUUUUUAUUUAGGUUUCCGUUAUGUGCUUUAAUUAAUUUUAUUUUAGUUAUUUCACAUAUAGGGGAAACGUAUUACGAGGAUGUUCGAGGUCAAGCUAGGCUCGGGGGUUACGACCCAGCGACGUACUUGUGAGUGGGCAGUUUAUUUUUAUAUCUAUACGUAUUUAUAGUUUCCAAAAUUUCAUAAAUGCAUCACUUUGCGUAUAUAUUGCCAAAUAAUUGACAACUGUGAUAUAAUUGUGAUAAAUGUUGUUAUAUGGUUGAGAUAUUACUGUCAUGGCAUUCAUACAUAAUUGUACAUACUCAUCUUGCUGCACCCCGGUGUUAGUACUCGCCCCAGGGCUAGGGCCAGUCCUUAACAUGUAUGUUCACAUCGCACCGUUCGCUCGCCUUGGAUCCAAGUUAGGUGUCAAUCAUGUCGAGUAGAUUGCAUUAGGCAAUCCGACUUGUAUGUGACUGUGCUUUUGCACCAGCCUUCACGUGAUCGUAAUACUAGAGCAUAUUGAUUACACCCAGUCCUGUUCGUGUCAGAAAUUAUCUAUUUGAACUUGUGUGUGUCAGCUUAGAUGAAUGAGCACUUAGCUAUACUUGAUUAUCACUUGAUUAUAUUAUUGUGACAUUUUAUACGUCAUAACUUGGCAUAUAUUUGGUUAUAACUCUGUUAUAGUAUUGUUGAUUUAUCGUUUACAUACCUAUGUAGUAUGUUUUAAGGAAACUAUACUUGUUUUACGGCGAGGGGUUAAUAUAUUCAAAGAUAAAGCUUUUCUUAUAAGCAUUGUUUUGCUGACCCACUCAACUUUGUUUUUUGCCCCUCCAGGACCUAGAUAGUUGUACUCUUUGUGGCACUCGAGGAAUCUUGGCAGUUCUGACAUUUAUUUCUGUUUAGACGUACGAAUUUAUCACUGUUAUGUAAUAAGUGUACUUUAAUUAUUUUGAUUACUCUUCUGUAGUCUCACUGUCUAUUACACUUUGAAUAAUUGUAGUGGGUUCACCCCACGAUUGCACUUUUUCACUGUUUAGUUCUAAUUAAUUUUAAUUUUAUUCACUUUUUGUAUCGCUUAUUCUUAUGGUUACGUCACCUCAUGGUGAUGGCUAGCAUGCUUCGACCUUUCCAAGCCGGGGUGUGUCAGAAAAUGUAUAAUUCGCAUUUGACACGAAUUUCAUUAUUAAGAUCACUUUCAUCUGUUAAUUUAACUGUUAUAUUAAUUUUUUCUCAUGUUAUCUUUCACAAAAUAUGGAUAAAAACAUGUACGAAAUGUUUUUUGUAGUACAUAUGUCUUUAUGCAUGCACAAAUGUAGAAGAGCUAAAAGAAUCUUUGUAUGUCGUGCGUAACGCGCUAUGAUGUAAAAAAAAGCCUUUCAAAUGCGCAAAGUGUGUGCAGAAAGGCUAGUAUAUUAUUAAGGCUUUAUUUAUAUAUUCUUUUAUAGAGAACUAAUCUCUUAGCUAAGGUUAGGAGAAAAGCCUAUGUAAAUUCAUUAGUUUGAUUUGAUUUGUGCGUUCAACAUUAAAUUCUUAUUAAUGGUUUGUUCAAUUCAAUUUUUACGAGAAAAUGGUGUGUGAAAAUAACUUUCCUUUUAUUACUACAUCUAAAUUUCUAAUGGCUGAAAUUGACUGAGGAAAUUUUUUUUUCCUUAAAUACCAACUUUGCCAUUCUACAACUGGUGAACCACCCUAUUGGAUAACACUUUUGUCCUCAACUCAUUGCGUCUCAUGUUCAAACAUUCUUCUUCUUCCUAAAUAUAACUUAGAGUAGUAAUACUGUUUGUAAAAAAAAAAAAAAAUAUAUAUAUAUAUAUAUAUAUAUAUAUUAUCCUUUUAAAAUUUAAAAAUCAAAUAUAUAGCAUUCCGUCUAUAUGAAUAAAAAACAUUGGUAAGAUAUAUGGUAAAAAGAAGGAUUAACCAUGCACUUGAUGUCUUGUGUUCGAGCUCCUUCUUUCAAACUCAUUAAUUAUUAAGGUUUUAUUUAUGGAUCAUUUUGGUUCCAAUCCCUAAUCAACCUAAUUGUUAGACUGAAAUCUUGUUUGUUUAAAUAUUUUGAUCGAGAUUCUUAGCAUCAUUUAAGAGAUCUAACUCAUGGAUUUAUGCAUUUAAUGUUCCACAAAUUAUGAAAUUUAAAAAAAUCAAAUAAUAUUUUAAAAAUAUAAUAAAUACUUAAAAAUCAAUUUUAGAGAAACAUUGUUCUUCACAAAAAUUAUAGCAAAAAUAAUAAUGUACCCACAUAAUUAUUAAAAUAUUUUAAAAAAUAACUAUUGAUAUAUUUUAAAAUAUAACAUAAAUACAUAUAAUUAGCAUGGUUACAUUUAGCAAAAUAAAAAAUGGGUACAAAUAAAUUAAAAAUAUGGGUACAAAUACAAAUCAAAGUUAUAAAAAAUAUAGGCACACAAAAGAUUUAAUAUAUCGAUUCUAUUGUAGGCCUAUUUGACCGAACUAUAUUUAGGACUAGAGAGGGAGAGAGGCCGACGACAAGAGAGAGAAGAGAGAGAUUUAAUUGUGAUGUGUGUGUUGUAUAACCCCAUUGUGCAUUUAUUUAUAGUAGUGGGAUAUGUUAAAUCCUUACCUUUUUAGACAACUCUAAUAGGAUAUUAACUACUAAAGAGAAUAUUCAAAGAUAUCCCUAGAUACACUAGGAUUUACACAAUCACAUUCCUACUCUAAAUAUGACUGCAACAUUCCCCCUCGAGUGUGUAAAUACUCAAACAAAACAUCGCAUCAUAUCUUCAGCAGAUAAGGUAGAACAGUUGAUGAAGUCGGUGGCACAAUGGGCGAAUGCGAGUCUCAAAUUUAAAGAAAGUAUGCACUGGUAGUAAAACUCACAAAACCUCGCUAUGAUAAAACCUAAGGUAGGUGAAAACCCAUGGAUUAAGGAGAAAAGUGAGAAGUAUGCAUAAUGUCAAAAACAAACAUCAAACAUGAUGAAAGUAGUGAACUCAACGGAGUAUGAUCAUCCCAGGAUGGGCGCCUCAUAAAAAAGAGUACAUUAAGAUCAAGUCGUAUGCUUUAAGAUACUUCCCCUGAAAUAAUUUACGCAUACCGAUUCCUUGGACGAGCUUCUAAAAAGUAGACUUGGGCAAUGACUUGGUAAAAAGAUCAACCAGGUUGUCCUGGGAACAUAUUUGCUUAACUUCAAUGCUCUGAUGCUGUUGUUGCUAGUGAGAAUAAAAGAAUUUUGGCGCUAUGUGCCUGGUGUUGUUUCCCUUGAUGUAUUCUUUCUUUAAUUGCUUGAUAUAUGUUGCAUUUUCUUCAAAGAUCUUCGUAGGAAGGUCAAAGACAGCAGUAAGACCACUAGUGCUUUAAAUAUGUUCCAUGAAUGCUCUCAACCAAAAGCAUUCACACGAUGUUUCAUGCAGGGCAAAGAUUUCAGCAUAGUUCGAAGAAGUCGCAACUAGCGUUUGCUUAGUAGACCUCCAAGAUAUAGCGGUGUCUUCAACGAUAAAAACAUAACCCGUUUGAGAACAUGCCUUAAGUGGGUCAGACAGAUAUCCAGCAUCUGCAUAACCAAUAACCCGGGAAUCAACUUAAGAAUCGAAGGGGACGGCGGCUCCCCUCGAGGAUUCGUGGGUGUAGAACAAGCCCAAAUCUGGCGUACCCUUGAGGUAUCAGAAAAUGUCUUUAACACCAUUCCAGUGUCUUCGUGUGGGCGAAUUGCUAUAUCUAGCCAAAAGUUUAACAGCGAAAGAGAUAUCAGGUCUAGUGCAUUAAGCCAAGUACAAUAAAGCACCAAUUGCACUUAGGUAUGGAACUUCAGGCUCCAAAAUCUCUUCCUCAUCCUCCUUAGGAUGGAAGGGAUCUCAUUUAGCAUUUAGAGUCUGAACGACCAUAAGAGUACUCGAAGGCUUCGUUUUAUCCCCAUUAAAACAUCGCAACACCUUUUGGGUGUAGUUCGAUUGAUGUACUAGGAUUCCAUCUAAACAAUGCUCGAUCUCCAGGCUGAGACAAUAUCGAGUUUUCCUAAGAUCUUUCAUCUCAAAUUUCGAUUUCAAGUGAACAUCAUUUUCUCAAGCUUUACAAAAGAUCCGAUGAGGUUCAUGUCGUCAACAUAAACUACAAUGAUCGCAAAUUCAGAAUGUGACUUCUUUAUAAACACGCAUGGGCAUAAUUCGUUGUUCACAUUACCCUAACUUGUCAAAUAUUCACUCAGACGGUUAUUCCACAUCCGCCCCGAUUGUUUCAAUCCGUAGAGUGAUCACCUUAAUCAAAUAAAGAGAGUGUUCCGUGAUCUAGAACUAUUUAAACCAGUCAAUGGAAGUCAUUUUGGAACUUUCAUGUAGAUUUUCAUAUCUAGAUCCUCAUAAAGAAACACGGUUACCAUGUCCAUAAGCUGCAUAUUCAGUUUUUCAGAAACUACCAAACUAAUAAGGUAGUAGAACUUAUGACGUCCAUUAUAGAGGAAUACGUCUCCUUGUAAUCAAUCACAGGGCGUUGAGAAAAGCCUUAUACUUUCUAUUUCUAGCCCUCUGAAAUUAACAGAUUUAAGGGAGGGACACUACGAGGCGUGCUUUGUAUCGCACUAUUUCAUUUUUUUCAUUAAGCUUCCUCACAAAAACCCAUUUGUAGCCCACAGGCUUCACAUGUGGUAGGGUAGAAGCUAUAGGUCUAAACACCUUAUGUUUCACAAGCAAAUCGAGUUCGACCUGGAUUGCUUGUUUCCAGUUUGACCAAUUCGUUCUACGUCGGCAUUCAUUAACAGAACGUGGUUCAAUGUCAUCGCUAAGCAUGAUGUCAGUAGUUACUGUGUACUCAAAUGCAUCAUCAACAAUCAUCUCAUUCUGAUUCUAAACCUCAUCCAAUAUUGCAUAGUGGACCGAAAUCUCAAGAUUCUCAGGAGGUCGGGCUGUUUUAUCUAAAACAUCACCGUAAUCUAGAAUAACCUCAUGUGUUGGAACAGAUGAGCGAGCGAUGGUCAGAUUCAAACUAGGGUCACUAGUUUAUGCCGUUUUCCUCUUCUGGGGUUGUGAAUCCUUUGAACCAGGGGGUCUGCCAUGCUUUAGGGUAGGAGCGGAUGAUUGGCUAGCCGCCAAUGUACUGGGCCACGUAGAAGUCACGUAAAGGUGCAGCCUCCCCACUUUCGGGGACGGUUCGGUCUUCCCAGGUAGUAUUACAACAUACUUGAGGUUCGUAUAUCCUUUUGUAGUGGGUAUAUGUGAUCUUGUCACCUUUGCUAGAUUAGUAAAAACAUCAUCAAUGAUCAUCUUAUUCUGAUUCCAAACCUCAUCCAAUACUGCACAAUGGACCGAAAUCUCACGAUUCUCGAGGGGUUGGGUUAUCUCAUCUAAGACAUCACUGUAAUCUAGAAUAACCUCAUGUGUUGGAACAUAUGAGUGAGCAAUGGUCGGAUUAUCUUCCCCGGAAGUGGCUUUUGAAGCCUUGGAAAUCGGUAAGGCUUUGGAAAUAGAUAAUAAUAUAUAAUAUAUUUGUUUAAUAAUUGUGGAAAUCCAUCUGACAGAGGGGAGUCAUUAUUAUCUUCCCCGAGAGUGGUUGAAGCCUUGGAAAUCGACAAGCCUUUAUUUCGGGGUUUCUCAUUUCCUCUCUCUUCCAUUCUUCUUCGAUUGCUCCGCCUGAUUCCCCAUAUUCUCUGCCUAAUUUCCAUCUUCUUGCUCUGUAUAAUUUUCCAAAAUUUAAUCAUGAGUCUUGUUAAAUUCCUCAAGCACAACGAAGAAAUCCUCUACGGCGAAGAAAUUUGAAGCUUCCAGGUCAAAGUUCUCGUUUUUUCUUUCUUUCUACAAUUGCACUAUUAUUCUAAUUCCUUAUAUAGAUAUAUCUCACGCUUAUUCUUCCCUCACGCUCUCUUGGUUGCUCUUUUCAAAUUUUAUGUCGUCACCCUCGCGAUGUAGUGAAAUGGUGAAAGUAUAAUAUUUUAACAGAACCAUCGCGGAGGCCGCUUAGCCCGGCACCUAGGUUGCCUAGCAUGCCUAGUCAGCAACCUAGCACGCUUAGUCAGCAGCCUGGCAACGCCUAGUCGGAUCCCUAGCACCGCCUAAUACCCUUGCCGAUUUACUGAACGUUUUUGAAAUAAUCACGGUGGCGGCCUGACGCCCAGUGCCUAAGCAGCCGCCCAUACCGCAUUUUAGAAAACUGGCUGGUCGACACCUGGAAGGUGGCGAAGCCAUAAAGUGUAGUGAUGUGAAAAAUGUGAAUAAAUUUAAACCUACAAGUACCUAAAUAUAAGAGUGCACUAGUCAGCAAGAACCCAUUUUACAAGUGAUGACAGAGUAUACGUAAGAUACAGUAGGUAGGAUAAAGAUUAUACCCUCAAAGGUAGCCACCCAUACUGAGAUUUGCCAAGAAUCCUCGUCGAUACAAAAGUUCAGCAGCUAAGACCUGGAGGGGCAAAAAACAAGGGGUGAGUGGGCCUGAAAAUAGAGUUUUAUAAAAACCUUUCUAAAAACAUUGUAACCGUAGCCUGCAAAAUCUCAAAAAUAUACUUACUACGUAUAGUAUAAAAAUACUUACCGUAGCCUGCAAAAUCUCAAAAAUUCAUUACGGCACAAUAUCUUGUAACUAAGGGCAGGAUAUCCAAAAUCACAAAAUCCUAACAGUAAUAUAAGUAAAAUCAGGUGCUCAAACAAUUUAUGCUAGCACACAAGUCGGAGUUGCCUAAUGCGACCUGCACGACUGAACUAAUGUUCAUCAAUCUAUGCUAGCACAAGAGUCGGAGUUGCCUAAUGUGACCUGUACGACAGAACUAGGUGUAAUCAUAAUAUACGCUUUAGUGCUACAAUCACAUGAAGACUGGCGCUAUUUGCGGUCACCUACGAGUCGGAGUUGCCUAAUGCAACUUGUACGACAGGACUGGCACCUACUUGGAUCCAAGGCGAGUGUGCGGUACGGAGGUGAACAUACACGUGAAAGACUGGCCCUGGCCUUGGGCGAACACUAACACCGGUGUGCAACAAUGAUGAGCAGACUACAUAAAUAUAAGCAUGCCAUAACAAUUCAAUAAUUUUAGUCAACAUAAUAAACUUACAUGCAUAUCCCAUAGGAUUUAGCAUAUCUCAUAAAUUCCGUCAUUUUCACUAAUUCUUAUAAACUUUAGUCUAAUCCAAGUGUAUGUAAGAAAUUCUUGUUUAAAUGCAUAAAUGAAAACUAUCAAUCAUACAUAUAUACUAUAAAAAGGAAAAGACCCACUCAUAGAUCACGUUGUUGAGUCGAACCUACCUCGUAUCAUCGAGAGUCCUUGUGAAGCGUUUCGCCUAAAAACAAAACCAUUUAGGUAAAUAUAACGUAUUAAUGUAAUUACGCGUUUUCGUACAAAGUAUGGCUAAUAAAGGAACUAUCUUAAAAUGGUCGAAUUUCGAAAAAUGGAUGGCGGAUUUGGAAUCAACGAGUUGAAAUACGGUAAGGAGGGUCCCUGGUAAAUUUUGUAAAAAGUCAACGGGAAGGUCGACGGUCAACCCUAAAAAAGGUCAACCGAGGCGUCUCGAUGGUCAACUAUGUUAAAACUUUAAAAUUUCACUAAAUGGAUGUCAAAAACAGACUCGGUGCGUCGAAAUUAGCCUAGGAGGGUUCCCGAGAAAAUUUCAAAAAAUCAACAUAAGGAAUAUUCUUAGAAUAUUCUCAGCCCAUUUAGAAAAUUAGGCUAGGUUAGGAACAUUGGCCCAAGGUUUGGGCUGUUUGGGCUAAGGAUUUGGGCCAACAACUUUGGACCAGUUUUGGGCCUAAGGCCCCUUUUUUUUUUCUUCUUCUUCUUCUUCUCCGACGGGUCGUCGGAUUAUGGGAAAAGUUAGCCGGGAAAAUUCCAAUUGCUCUAACUAAUUCAUCUCUCAACCAAAAUCCAAAAUUCAAAAGUCAAAAUAAAGCUUAGGAGUUAAGGAAUUGAAAUGUACCAAUCCGAGGUUGAGUCGUGACAGGAAAUGGUCCGAAAUGAAUUGCAAUGCCGGAGCUUCGCUGAAAAAUUUGGGGAAGUUUUCCCGACAUGAUUCCUACAUCUAAACACCCAUAAACCGUCUCAAAACAUCCCAAACGUAGUCCUAGUCAUGAUCUACAAAUUUAUAAGAAUGUUUUAGGCCUUACCUUCGUCGGAGACGGCGAGAACUCGCCGGACUCAAUUUUUGCAUAAUGACUGUAUUAUGCGGUGAGGAAGAGUGAGAGAACGAGGGUUUCGAUCUGGGUUAAGUUCGUGGUGGGGAUGCUUAUCGAGUGAUGUUCGCUAGAAAUGACGAGUGGUGGUGGUUUGUUCAAGGUGGUCGCACCCUCUCGGUGCUUGCCGAGGAAGAAGGAAGAGAGAGAGGUGAAAGACAGAUGCGGGAAAGAUAGAGUGAAGAGAGAGAGAGGGUCCCUGAGAUGAGGGAAAUAGGCCACGUGGUGAGAGAUGAGAUGAGAGUUAAGUGAGGCAUAGACCCCACGGGCCAAAAUAAAUUAUACAAUAUUCAAAAUAUCUCCUCAGAAAGUAUUAAAAUAUUAAAAUACCCAAAAAUUCAAAUUUCACAAAACACCUCGAGUUUCGUAGUUCCGUAAAAUAGUAGCUUAUACACGUCACAAAAAGGCGGUCAAUGAAAGUCGACGAUUUCACCUCUAGGCACAUUUUGUCAAUUCACUCUUUUAGAAUUUAUAAAAUCGUAUAAUUAGGGACGGGUUGUCACAAUCUACCCACCUUAAAAAAAAAAAAUUCAUCCCUGAAAUUUGAAAUCAUUUGUUAUUCAAAAAUAGUGAAAAGACAGCAAGAAAAUAAAUAUGUAAAGAAGAUAUCAAGUUACGGUUGCAUAAAAGAGAAUGUCAUUCAACCGUGAUCGAAGUGCAGUGAUUCCUCUUUCAUGCCUCCAAACUCAUACUUUCUUUCUCCUUCAGUACAAUACUAUAAUAUAAUACUUAUUACAUAAACAAUAUGUCUAAAGUAUUUAUAUAUGUAUAAAAACAUCCCGUCAAAAUACAUAUAUAAUAAUGUAAAGUUAAAGUAAUUCUAUUGAAAUUAAAACUGAACAUAGAGUAUUUUUCACCUACGCACUUGAUGCGUUACGUACUCGGAAGGUAAGGAGUGUGUCAUAAUUCAUCAAUUUGAUUCUUGAGAUUUGAAAUUGCUAAAAAUGAUCCUUAAAUAAGGAGUAAAUGAUAAAAAUAACCUCAAUUCAAUAAACAAUGAUCCAUAAUAAUUUGACAAAAAUUGAAGAUAAUUUUGUUUUUCUUACUAAAUGAUCAAAAUAAUUGAUGGUGAAUAAAAUCAGAAAUCUCACUUUGAAGAAACGAAACUUCCGACUUGGUGGGCUGCGACUUUUGACUGAUUGAGAGUCCUCUAUCCACAGCUCCUCUAUCUUCCUCCUAAACCUUUUACCUUUCUUUUUUUCUUCUCCAAAGCUAGCAAGCUGAGAUUUCAACCUCUCCCUCUAAGAGGCAGCGACAUGCUUUUCCAAAUGCAGUCUGCAAUUUAAUCAAACAGCCAUCGAAUUUUCUGGAAUCCGGUCAACGCAGAGAUGCUUCGGAUUUUGACCGGUCAACGCUAGCUGCUUACCUGAGCUCCAACAGACCCAACAGUGAUAACGUCCUCCACCUCUGUUUCUGUUUGGAUGAUUAUGCUGUUUGGCUUCUUUCACCUCCGCAAGCUUGCUGCCAAUGUCGAAGGUAUGUCUCUGUGUGUUAUUGAAUUUGGGAGUGUUUGGUUGUGGGAACUGGAAUGAACUAAUGAAUGAAUGAACGACUGGAAACAUUCCCGAAGAGGUUGGAUCUUUACUUGGCAACCUUGCAAAACUGCGUUUCCUGUAUGAACCCCCAUCCUUUUGUUAGAGAAUAUCUGUCAUCUUUCUUUUUCAUUCGAUAUGCUAAUCUCCAGAGUCCAUUUUUAACAUCAAUUUAGGAAAAUUCUGAAGUUUUAACAUAGUUGACCAUCGUGGCGUUUUUGUUGACUUUUAGGGUUGACCGUUCAAUUUUCGUUGACUUUUUACAAAAUUUGCCCGGGAUCCCUCUUAGCGUAUUUUGAUGCUCUGAUUCCAAAUCUGCACUUCGUUUUCUCAAAUUUGAUCGUUUAAGUUGAGUUUUACUAAUGGGUCCCAAUAUUAUACUUGGGCGCGAUUAGUAUCAGAGAUUUCAACUUUCUUAGCUCAAAAGGAUGUGACAUCGUAAGUACCUGUGAGUGGGUCUUUUCUUAUAUAUAUAUAUAUAUAUGUUAGUUUCCAUUUAUAUAUUUGGUAAAGAAUUUUCUACGUUACACCUAGAUUAGGGUAACGUAUAUAAAAAUUAACGUAUUUACGGAAUUCAUGCAAUUAUACUACAUCUUACAGGAUACACAUGUAUGCGUAUUAGUAUGGAUGCUUUAAUGAUAUUUACGGUUAUGAAUAAUAUUUUGACUAGGGUUAUUGAAUUAUCAAAUUAUCAAUUUACCAUUGCAUGAUCAUAUUUGUGUUAUCUGCUUAUUGUGUGCUGCACUGGUGUUAGUACUUGCCUGAGCGAGGGCUAAUCUUUCAGGUGUAUGUUCAUAUCGCAUCAUAUGCUCACUUUGGAUCCAUUGUAGGUGCCAGUCAUGUCCUAGAUUGCGAUAGGCAAUUAGGACUCGUAUGUGACGCACUUAGCGCCCGUUCACGUGAUUGUAGUACUAGAGCGUGAAUCAUUAUUACAUCUAAUUCUGUUCAUGUCAGAAUACCUCUGCAUGAACUCAUGUGUCAACAUAUGCCAAUAUGGACUCGAUGUGAUAUGUUUAUUUUUGCGAGAUACUGUGAUUACUAGAAAUUAUGUACCUAUUUACAAAUUUUGUGACGUAUUGAAUUCUUGAGAUUUUGCAGGCUACGGUAAGUAUUUUCAUACUAUAUUUUGGAAAUAACCUCAAUUCAAUAAACAAUAGGUCAUAAUAAUUUAACAAAAAUUAAAAAUAAUUUUGUUUUUUGACAAAAUGAUCAAAAUAAUUGAUGAUGAAUAAAAUCAGAAAUCUCAUAACAAAGUUAAGAAUUGCAUAACAAUUUCAAGAAUCAGCUAAAAAGUCAAAAAUAAAUAUAAACAAAUGAAGAAACGAAACUUCCGAUGCGGCGGGCUACAGCUUUGCCUGAUUUUGCUGUUUAUUUUAACGAAAAAUCAUAUUUUUACACUAAAAAGUCAAUCAUGAUACUUUUCACUUUACUCUUUAUUUUAUCAUUAUCGUUAAAACUCAAAAUUUUCAAAUCAUUUUAAUUAGUUUUUCUUUAAAAUAAUUUAUAGUGGAUAAAACCAGAAAUCUCAUUUUGAGUGAGGAGUUGCAUAACAAUUUCAGGAAUCCACUAAAAAGUAAAAAAUAAAUAUAAACAAAAGAAGAAACGAAACUUGCGACGUGGUGGGCUGCGACUUAAGACUGAUUGAGAGUCCUCUAUCCGCAGCUCCUCCGUCUUCCCCCCGAACCUUUUACCUUUCUUUCUUUCUUCUCCAAGACUAGCAAGCUGAGAUUUCAACCCGUCUCUCUAAGAAGCAGCGGCAUGCUUUUCCAAACGCAAUCUGCAAUUUAAUCAAACAGCCACCGAAUUUUCUGGAAUCCGGUCAACGCAGCGAUGCUCCGGAUUUUGAUCGGUCAACGCCAGCUGCUUACCUGAGCUCCAAAAGACCCAACAGUGAUGACGUCCUCCACCUCUGUUUCUGUUUGGCUGAUUCUGCUGUUUGGCUUCUUUCACCUCCACAAGCUUGCUGCCAAUGUCGAAGGUAAUGCUCUGUGUGUUAUUGAAUUUGGGAGUGUUUGGUUGUGGGAACUGGAAUGAACUAAUGAAUGAAUGAAUGACUGGAAACAUUCCCGAAGAGCUUGGGGGUUUGUCGGACUUGGUGAGCUGGAUCAUUACUUGGCAACCUUGCAAAACUGCGUUUCCUGUAUGAACCCCCAUCCUUUUGUUAGAUAAAAUCUGUCGUCUUUCUUUUUCAUUCGAUAUGCUAAUCUACUGUUUUUAAUUGUUCCUUUGGAGUGACUUUCUUCCUUAAAGUCCAUGAUAGCAUUUCGGUUAAACCCAAAAUAUUACUUGGGUUGACUAUGAUCUCCCAAUAUUCUGGUCAAGGCACAAUACAAAACAAGUGAUAAAACAAUACGAAAAAAGAACAAAACAUGGGAAAACACGUAAUUGGAACCUUGAAGGCAAAUAUUCCAUGUGCCGGAUGCAUACAAUUUAAAAUAUGACCCCUGUCUUCAAGAUUCAUAAGAAGGGAACAUCCAAUCAUUGCAAGUCCUGUGGGUUUCAUACACUUUCAUCUCUGUAAGAGGGAGGAAGAGCGAAAAGUUACUAAUUUCUCCGCUAUCAGAGAAUGCUAAUAACAUUUAGUUUUGCCAUGGAAUGCAGGGAUCUUUCAAAUAACAAUCUGACGGGGGAUCUUUUUCACUUUUUACUCCCAUCACAGGUUUGUUCUAAAGUGAAUUACAUGCAGGUUUUUACAACUUAUACUUUUUCACUUUUAACGGGCUGAGCCCAAAUCCUAAACUUAUUACUUUCCAGAUGGCUCUGUUUUGUUCCACUUCCAGCCUCUCCACAUCCAGGUUUUUACAACUUAUACUGUUCUUGUGAUAUUAACUCAAAUUUAUUCUGAGAGCUGGCUCUAUUUUGUUUCACAGACACUUGUGAUAUCAACUCCAGUCCAGUCCUAGUUAAUGUUUUUUUUGGUGUUUUUCUGUUAAAACUUUUCGUAAUACAACAUUAUUGUUGGAAUCACUGCUGUAAAGAUUUUAAGAAGAUGGUAGUUAGGAAAGGAAUAGAUUGAGGGUAUUUAUAUUAUUCUGAUUAGAAAGUUAAGUGAAUUUAUUGUUUUUGAUUUGUAAACAAAUUGCUUACAAAUAAUCAAAUUCUAUUAAACAAAAAUAAUUGCUUACAAUAAAGUAUAACUAUAAAUAUCAUUGUAAAAUGUAUUUUAUAAAUAUUUUUAAUUUAUGUUUUUUAACGAAUUGAGAACGAAUCAAACUGAAUAUCAUAUUGUCUAUGUGUCUUUGGCAAAUGAUACUACAGGUUACUACCGAAUUUCGUACCUUAACCGAAUUGCGAACUCGAACCAUACCCUGUAUGUGGCAACUAUGGGUGCCAAGUACUGGGGCUAUUUCUGGAGGGGGGCUAUUGCUGGAGGGGUUGCUGCUGGUUCUGCUUUCCUGUUUGCUGCACUUGCAAUUGCAUUUGCUUAUUGUCGACGAAGAAAAUCACAGGAUUAUUUCUUUGAUGAACCUGGUUAGUGAACUAUUAAGAGUAAUAUAGCUUGAUCAAGUUGGCAUUGUAUGGGAUGCAGGUUUCACUCAUCUACUGUCUUUGCAGCUGAGAAGGAUCCAGAAGUUCAUUUACGACAGUUCAAAAGGUUCUUUGAGCGAGCUACAAGUUGCGACGGAUACCUUUAGCGACAAAAAUAUUCUUGGUAGUGGUGGAUUUGGUAAGGUUUAUAAAGGACGCUUAGAUGAUGGAACUCUGGUUGCUGUAAAAAGACUUAAAGAGGAGAGAACCCAAGGCGGGGAGCUACAGUUCCAAACAGAAGUUGAAAUGAUUAGCAUGGCUGUCCACCGCAAUCUGCUUCGUGUGCAUGGUUUUUGCACGACACCAACAGAAAGGCUGCUUGUAUAUCCUUUUAUGGCCAAUGGAAGUGUGGCAUCAUGUUUAAGAGGUACUCAUCUAAAUUGUUUGCUGCGUUGAUGAAUCUUUUUGUUUUCAUGACAUUAAAAUUUUUUUGGAUUACAUUGAUAUAAUGAACCUGACCAAUUUGGUUUGGAGUAUGAACACUGAUUUUUUUUUUUUAAUGUUUUUUUUUUCCUUCAAUUUUAAGUUAUCUUCUCGAUGCUGAUUUUAUUUUGUUUAAUUUGAAAAGGAUGACAAGAUGACCCUUUUUUGGGUAGGACGGGUGGUAUGAUAUGUGUUAGACCACAUUACCUGUUGCUUGUAAUUUGAAAUUCUCCUCUCAUAAGUAUGUGGAUAUAUUAUUGUAGAUCGUCCAGAAGGACAACCUGCACUUGAUUGGCCAAUAAGACAACGCAUUGCAUUGGGAUCUGCAAAAGGUCUUGCUUAUUUACAUGAUCACUGUGAUCCAAAAAUUAUUCACCGUGAUGUGAAAGCAGCAAACAUAUUGUUGGAUGUGGAAUUCGAAGCAGUUGUUGGAGACUUUGGGUUGGCUAAACUCAUGGACUACAGGGAUACACAUGUUACCACAGCUGUACGUGGCACAAUUGGUCAUAUAGCACCAGAGUACUUUUCAACUGGAAAAUGUUCCGAGAAAACUGAUGUUUUUGGAUACGGAGUCAUGCUUCUUGAACUCAUCACUGGGCAGAGGGCUUUUGAUCCUCAGCUUGCGAGUCAUGAUGACCCCAUGUUAGUUGAUUGGGUAUGCAUUUACAUCUUUCUGUUUGUGUAUGUAGCUAAUUUAUUGUUAUAUGCAAGAUUAUUAUUUCUUGGGAGCAGCCUCUCCAUAAAUGGGGGUAAGGCUAGCCGACAUUCACCUCUUCCAGACCCUGCGUAAAGCGGGAGCCUUGUGCACUGGGUACGACCUUUAUGCAAGAUUAUUAUUUCCCAACAACAUUUGCAUUUCCUUAGUAAUUAGCUUUUAGAAAAUAAGUUUGGUUUAAUUAGCUUUUAUUAGUUAGAGUUGUGAUUAGCUGUGAAGAUUUGUUUAUCUUUAUUUAUAACAAUCUAAGGUUUAAGCUGUCAGAGUUAAUUUUUGCAUUUCCUUAGUAAUUGUUACCAUUCCUGUUUGAUUAAUGUAAAAAUCACUUGUCUUUUUGGCCCGAAUGUUGAAAACAGUAAGAAUCAUGGAUCAAAGAAAAGAAAUAAUACUUAACUUUUAGAAAAUAACUUUAGUUUAAUUGGCUUUUAUUAGUUAGAGUUACGAUUAAGCUGUGAAGAUAUAUUUAUCUUUAUUUAUGACAAUCUAAGGUUUAAAUUGUCAGAGAUUAAUUAUUACAUUUCCUUGGUAAUUGUUGUUAGUAUUGUUGUUGCUUCUUUUGCCAAUGUAUUGGCCUUGCUGUGAUUUCUUGAAGAAUUUGGCAUGUGUUUUGUAUCGAUCCUAAUUUCCUCAUCAUCUCUUUAUUCUCGCUAUCUUGGCCUCUUGCUUCUUUCUAUUCUCUCUAUUUGCAUCUUUGUCAAUUGUUAUAUUUGAAUGACGAUGCAUUUUUGUAAGCUAUUUGAUUUUCUGGAGAUACUGCGGCCCUUCAAAUUUUGAACAUUACAACACAUUUUCACUCUCCUAGGUGCCCUCACCUUUUGUUUCAAAUUGUAGAACUAUCUGACGUUUUCCGUUUUAUUUUAACUAAAACAAUUAGGUCAAAAGACUACUGAAAGAUCGAAGGUUGGAAACACUUGUUGAUGCUGAUCUAAAUGGUAAUUAUGUUGACGAUCAAGUGGAGCAGCUCAUCCAAGUAGCUCUACUGUGCACACAAGGCACCCCAGGGGAACGACCCAAGAUGUCAGAGGUUGUUCGGAUGCUGGAAGGCAAUGGUUUGGCUGAAAGAUGGGAGGAGUGGCAAAAAGAGUAGGUGUUCCACCAAGAUUUCAACCCUAUUCAUCAUCCAAGUACUAAUUGUAUCAUAGACUCAACUUUUCAUAUUCCUCCUGAUGAGUUGUCCGGUCCCAAAUGAUAUGCUCGUUGGUUCUGUCCCCUGUAUACAUCUAAGAAGCCUUCAGAGGACUGGAGAAUGUCCAUUUCGUAUUUCAGUGAUACCACAUUUGUGCUUAUGUUUUGUCUUUGUUUUCAAUUUUGGUUUUGUCUUGCGUAUUUUUUAGAUCAUAAAAUGGAGCUGAUGCUAUUGUAAUUUGGGAUGUGCUAUCCACACAUCACUUUUUACUUCUCACACACCCCUUGUUAAUUUCUGUCCGUUGAUCUUCUUCAAUUCAUCUGAUCCGACGGCCGAAAACCAAAAAGGUGUGGGAGAAGUAAAAAGGGGUGUGUGGAUAUCACACCCCUUGUAAGUUUUAUAGGGUCAACUGGCAUUACGAAGUUAUAUGGUGCUAGCAGGAAUUAGGAAGGGCCAUAAAAGCACUCAUUCCUGAUGAUUUAUGUAUCUAUCUAGAAAUUAGUCUAAAUUGUCGAGUAAAUAAUCAUUCUAAACUUAUAACCAUCUAUAUAUUUUAGUGUUCCUAUAGAUCCUGUAGAUACGAUAAGGACACUAGGUCAAGUGCAUGGCUGGUUGCGGAUGGAUAGUGUUUGAAAUUUCAUUGUGAUCAUUGCAAGUGCGAAUUUGUGGCACCACCUUUAUAAGUACUUGAACUAAGGCAGUAGGGGAUCAGGAGAUCACUUUGUGUCAUUCCAACACAGGAAUUCGAGCUUUGUCUAAUCUCUUUAGAGUAUCGCCAAUGGGGAUCCCUCUACUAUCUUUGAGGAUUUAUUUAGGACUAGCUGUAGGGUAAGACCUAAACCUAAAUAUUUGAGUUUAAACAAAAUAAAAAUGCAAUCUAAUUGUGGGACUUUUUUGUUUUUUAUGAACAAAAAAAUAUUAUCUGGAUUGAGUUAAGCCUUAUAGUGGGCUAGUAAUGACCUCUCUUACAUGUGAAGAGGAAUACUAUUAAACCGUAGUACUAGGUAAUAUCUAAUGGUUGGACUUAAACCUAAAAGGUUUGGCUUUUGACCAAGCUAAACCCAAAUUUGGGUUUGUAUUUGGCUGACCCAAAUUUUUGGGGGCCCUACCUUUUUUUCUGAAAAGCAACGGGCCAAUGAUUUAUUGAAGUGGCCGCGGCAUAUGGGUUAGGGGUGGUUCGGUAUGGGAUCCCAUACCAAAACACUUGUCCCGAUUCUCAAACCGAAAUUUUCGGGAAUCCCAAUUUCAAUACCGAUCCCAAACCAAAUUUUCGGGAAUCCCAAUUUUUGGGAAUCCCAAAAUAGUUUCGGGAUUUCGGGACAAAUCGGGAAUCCCGAAAUGGUUUUGGGCUUUUGGGCUUUUAGACUAAAAUUUGACAUAUUAUGCUUUUAGGCCCAAUCUGCCAAUUUGUUUCUACAAAUCUGCCAAUCAAAUCUGCCAAUCAAAUGGCAAGGCUUGUUUCUACUAAUCUCUACUUAAUAUUAAUACUAACACUUAGUUUUCAUUUCGAUGCAGAGAGUGAUGGAUCAACUGCAAAAUAGUGAAAGAAAACUAAGAAGCUCAAAACUGUACACAAAAACCAAAAUCAAGCAAAACGAAGAAGCUCAAAACUGAACAUUGCAAAGUAAACGCCAGAAACUGAGCACAGAAACUGAGCAAGCAUGCCAAGAAUCAAAGCAAACCCCACAAGAGUCAAGAAAUGAUAAUUGAGUCAUUCGAAGAGUACCCAGACAAGUUCUGUGCACAAAUUUGACAAUAUGGCUAGCAAAUAGCAAGCAAACAACAAAUAAUUAACAAGAACUAGUAACAGUGAGCAGAAUCAUAAGGUCUGAUUAGCUCACCUUCAUCAAGCACAAUUCCGACGUUCAAUCCCUUGAAAACAUCAGAUUCAGCCAGCUUCUCAGCACCGUCGUGUCCCCCAAUCUCCUCAUCAGGACCAUAUGACAAAUAAACAGACCUUUUGGGCUUAAACCCAGAAGCCUUGAGCCGUCGAAUCGCCUCCAAGUACUGAAUCCCGACGCACUUCAUGUCCUGGGACCCCCUGGCGUAAACGUCGCCGUUCGAGUCCAAGUUGGCCGAGAAAGGGGGGGUGUAACCACUUGUCGUGCUCGGCCGGAACGAUGUCGGUGUGGGAAUUGAGAAGAACAGAGGAGAGAGAGAUGAGAUGAGGGCUUGUCGGCUAGAUGAGGGAGAGAUCAGAGAUGAGAGAUUAGGGCUCGGCUAUUCGAUUUGAUAGAAACAAUGGAACGAAAGUGAAGUUUGUGAAAUGGUAUUCUGACCUAAAAACAUAUGAACGGCAAAGAUUAAAUCCAAAACAAUGAACGGUUGAAAUAAUUCUUUUAUAAUUAAAAGAAAAAAAAAAAAUAUAUAUAUAUAUAAUAUUUAUUUUCGAUUCGGUCUGGGAAUACCGAAAAUUUGAGAUUCAAAACCGAAUCCCAUACCGAAAAUAUCGGUUUGGUUCGGGAUUACAUACCGAAAAUUUCGGGAUUUUUGGUUUGGGAUUUUUUUGGUUUGAGAUCGGGAUUUUUUUGGUUUGGUUUGGGAUUUUUGGGAUUUUUUUCCGGGUUCCUCAUGCCAGCUGCAAAACAAUUUCAGGAAUCAGCUAAAAAGUCAAAAAUAAAUAUAAAUAAAAGAAGAAACGGAACUUCCAACGCGGUGGGCUGCGACUUUGCCUGAUUCUGCUAUUUAUUUUAACGAAAAAUCAUAUUUUUACAUUAAAAAGUCAAUCAUGAUACUUUACCUUUUAUUUUAUUAUUAUCGUUAAAACUCAAAUUUUUCAAACUAUUUUCAUUAAUUUUUCUUUAAAAUAAUUUAUAAUGCAUAAAACCAGAAAUCUCAUUUUGAGUGAGAAGUUGCAUAAACAAUGUCAGGAAUCCGCUGAAAAGUAAAAAAUAAAUAUAAACAAAAGAAGAAACGAAACUUCCGACGCGGUGGGCUGCGACUUAGACUGAUUGAGAGUCAUGUAUCCGCAGCUCCUCCGUCUUCCUCCCAAACCUUUUACCUUUUCUUUCUUUCUUCUCCAAAACUAGCAAUCUGAGAUUUCAACCUCUCUCUCUAAGAAGCAGCGGCAUGCUUUUCCAAACGCAAUCUGCAAUUUAAUCAAACAGCCACCGAAUUUUCUGGAAUCCGGUCAACGCAGCGAUGCUCCGGAUUUUGAUCGGUCAACGCCAGCUGCUUACCUGAGCUCCAAAAGACCCAACAGUGAUGACGUCUUCCACCUCUGUUUCUGUUUGGCUGAUUCUGCUGUUUGGCUUCUUUCACCUCCACAAGCUUGCAGCCAAUGUCGAGGGUAUGUCUCUGUGUGUUAUUGAAUUUGGGAGUGUUUGGUUGUGGGAACUGGAAUGAACUAAUGAAUGAAUGAAUGACUGGAAACAUUCCCGAAGAGCUUGGGGGUUUGUCAGACUUGGUGAGCUUGGAUCUUUACUUGGCAAC
rnacentral:lncRNA from 1 species